rnacentral:rRNA from 1 species
UACAGAGGUCCCGAGCGUUGUUCGGAUUUACUGGGCGUAAAGGGUGCGUAGGCGGUGGGGUAAGUUUGAGGUGAAAGCUCCGGGCUCAACCCGGAAAAUGCCUUGAAAACUAUCCGGCUAGAGGGUUGGAGGGGAGACUGGAAUUCUCGGUGUAGCAGUGAAAUGCGUAGAUCUCGAGAGGAACACCAGUGGCGAAGGCGGGUCUCUGGACAGUUCCUGACACUGAGACACGAAGGCCAGGGGAGCAAACGGG